AAAAUCUGGGGCUCAACCCCAGACCUGCACUCGAUACGGGUUAGCUAGAGUUUGGUAGGGGAGACUGGAAUUCCUGGUGUAGCGGUGGAAUGCGCAGAUAUCAGGAGGAACACCAAUGGCGAAGGCAGGUCUCUGGGCCAAUACUGACACUGAGGAGCGAAAC
rnacentral:rRNA from 1 species